rnacentral:rRNA from 1 species
GACGAACGCUGGCGGCGUGCCUAAUACAUGCAAGUCGAACGCACUCUCGUUAGAUUGAAGAAGCUUGCUUCUGAUUGAUAACAUUUGAGUGAGUGGCGGACGGGUGAGUAACACGUGGGUAACCUGCCCUAAAGUGGGGGAUAACAUUUGGAAACAGAUGCUAAUACCGCAUAAAACCUAGCACCGCAUGGUGCAAGGUUGAAAGAUGGUUUCGGCUAUCACUUUAGGAUGGACCCGCGGUGCAUUAGUUAGUUGGUGAGGUAAAGGCUCACCAAGACCGGGAUGCAUAGCCGACCUGAGAGGGUAAUCGGCCACACUGGGACUGAGACACGGCCCAGACUCCUACGGGAGGCAGCAGUAGGGAAUCUUCCACAAUGGACGAAAGUCUGAUGGAGCAACGCCGCGUGAGUGAAGAAGGUUUUCGAAUCGUAAAACUCUGUUGUUGGAGAAGAACGUAUUUGAUAGUAACUGAUCAGGUAGUGACGGUAGCCAACCAGAAAGCCACGGCUAACUACGUG